rnacentral:lncRNA from 1 species
AAGGCAGUUCACUAAAAGCUUUUGCUUGUUCUGUUUGUUUGAUCUAAAAGAGAUGGUCAGAAUUGUUUCUUCUUGUGAGGUUGGUUGUUGCUUUUCAAAAGCUUCUCAGUCGAAAGAAGGAACUUGCUGUGGUGAUGUUAGGAAUAGACCAAAGAUUUUGAUAGUUUAAAUUACGUUUACAGGAAAAAACAAUUGUUAUUUGUAUUCUAGAAUCAUAAGUCAUAUGAUCUGAAGGACCAGAAUCAAUGAUCCACGUAUCGCUACCGGUAAUAAAGCGACACCAAAUUUACCUCGUUGGUACUGUGAUGGAGAAGCUUGCACAUUCAGACCCCUCCAAAACCUUCACACCUAGUCAGAAGAAUGAUAUCAAACGACAUCUUUGCACACUCUUACCCCUGUUUGAGAUGCCCGAUCACCCCAUCUCAAACACAGGUAAGAGUGUGCAAAGAUGUUGUUUGAUAUCAUUCUUCUGACUAGGUGUGAAGGUUUUGGAAGGGUCUGAAUGUGCAAGCUCCUCCAUCAGAGUACCAACGAGGUAAAUUUGGUGUCGCAUUAUUACUGUUAGCGAUAUGUGGACCAUUGAUUCUGGUCCAAUAUAUAAUUAGCUGCAAGCCUCUUUUAUAAGUUGUUGCUGGUAUUUUCUGAAAUUGAGAAGUUCUGAAAAGGUAUAUAAGCAUCUGAAAUUUACAAUUCAAUACACGUAUACAAAACCAAUUACCCAAAUUGCAACUAUCAACGCAGAUUUCCAGCCUGCAAUGUUCUGAACCAAAAUAUUGAUGGACAGCAGCUUUUAUAUUUAACACACAUUGUCUUUGAAGGAAGCUUGUCACCACUCCUCAGUCAGCUUUACUUUUACAUGAUUAUCUGCUCCUCCCAAAUAAAUCUUCCUCUUCAAGUUUUGUGUUUUCAUAUCCUUUACUAUGAGAAUCUCAACAGGUUUCAUCAUGGCACUGGCAGAAUUAAACAAAACUGAUAUCAAGUCAAAGAGGGUGGAGACAAUUACUUGAAAUGAUAUAGGUGUUGUGAUCAGAGUUAUUACAUGCAAUAAUUUCCAAGAAUUGGAACCAAGAUGAGGUUGGGGAAGGUCACAGACAAAUCCCAAAAUUUUGAUGCAUCCAAUCAGUAGUUUCAGUAUUUCAAUGCAUGUUACAAUGUACAUUUUCAUGCAAAUCACGCUAUGCAAGAUAAUAACAAUUACCUCAACUGUGGUAAGAACCUGAGAAAGAAAAUUCUUAGGUUUCCUGCUGGAAAACAAAUGUUUGUAUCGUUAGGCUUGAUGAACCAAUGUUGACUAGUUUCACAAUCACUUUGACACAUAUCCUAGAUUAAGCUUAGCAGCUUCUGCACUUUUUUGUGAUUCUAAUUACUGCCUGCUUGUAAAAGGUAGAGCAAUUUGAUCUCUUCACCUACCUUAGAAGGAUUCUUUAGUCCCAUCUAACAAUGCUGCUAAUCAUAAACUGGCUAUGCAGAGGUUAUAUGGCACCAGAGUAUCUUGUUCAAGGGCAACUUACAGAGAACGAAGAUGUUUAUAGCUUCGGAGUGCUAGUUCUCGAGAUUGUGUCUGGUAUGAGGAAUAGCACCUUCAAACAAGAGGACUCAAACACUGAUUCACUCCUACACAAAGUUUGCAACUCUUAUACAUAGAGAAUGAGACUGAAGCUUUAUAUUUUGGAAUAUAAGAAACAAGUGCUUAUUAGACCACGUAUAUUUUUGCUUUUCUAUUUUUCUUUUUUUACCCCAUUGAUAGAAAGCUUGCUUUCAGAGGCACAGCCCUAUCUGUUGCAAACCCAUCACCGCCGUUCCACCACUCCCUUGAAUCCACAGUCGACCAAAAUCUGUCUUCAGUCUCAAAAACCGAGGUAGACAAACGAAGCAAUACCAAGACGAGAACUCUCCAUGCAUCAUCUUCUUCUCGCUUUUCUUUUCUACGUUAGUUGCUGUGAUGAUCCAAGAACCUCGUUAGCGGCUGGCCUCCACUGCGGAGCUCUCAAGCCUCCGCCAAACGCCAGCUUCAUUCCGGCGUUUUUACUUCGUUAACUCCACCCCGCCCAUGUACGAACGCUUCAACGAUCUGUCGCACACUGACUGCCUCCUCUCAAAUAUAGUGUGCCGGAUAUAUAUAUGGUAUUCCACCACGAGCAACCAGCGUGAACAUUGAACUGGCGAGUGGCAAUGAGACCAAAAAUACCAUGACAAAUAAGAAGACUCCUCAGAGAAUGAAUCACAGGCUCACACAUAAGUUAAUUGGGAUGGUGGAAAUGGAGAGCAAAAGAAGAAAUGACAUCAUUAUAUGCAGGCAGCAUGUCCCAACGAAUUGGAUGCACCAAUGAUUCCUAUCAAAUAAUCCACAACUCACUGGUCACUUUGUUAAUCCAACCACAAGUUACGCAACUCUAUAAAGAUAUGAAAACACAGAGAACAUGCACGUACCUGAAAUCGUUAGGGAACAUAGAACCAGAGAUGGAAGAAACCAGAAAGCUGAGCCGGGAAUCCUAGCUGGAUACUUCUACGUUUAACACCUGCUCAGGGGCUAGACACGCAGUGCCUACGUGUCAAACCAAUUCGUCAUUUGGUGAUUGAGUCCUCAUCGUAGUUUUGACACAAACGACACUCCAGAUCGACUCCAUUAUCUUACAGAUAGCAAAUCAAGGUUGCAUGUUCAUCAAUGGGAGCUGUUCUUCUCCAUCCUAAUAGCAGACUUUGUGGUUGACAACACGCAAUGAGGCAAUAUCUCAUCAACAUUUACGGAUAUAGACUACACCGAAUAAUUUCUCAUUCCAAUACGCUGGUUCCUCAAAACAUAAGUUUAUAUAAUUUCUUUCUAUAAAGAGUAUCACAAUGUCUUCUUGAAGACUGAUGAAACAGUUGCUAAUUGAUACCAGCAUAUACAGAAUGACAUGUUUGAAACUGAUUUUUUUGGGAUCAAGAGUGAUCGAUAUUCAGUAGUCAGUACGAAUCAAUUAACUUUGACCAACAAGAACAUCUUUAUAAGGAGUAGGCUGUGGUGCUGCAAUAUGGAUACUUGGUUCCUGUUGUUGCUGGGAUAGUUGUCUUUUUCUCCUCCUUUGAUCUUCUAGAAUAAGAGGAACUUGACCUUCCCUUUCAUGUACGAGUCGCUCCUGUGCCCCUCCCCUCAAUUUCUCGAGCCUUAGGAUGGCACCGUCAUCCAUCUGUUGCAUCUUGAACACCUUCACCACAUUCGCUAAACCUCCAACAAGGAGCAAUGUGCUGCCAGCUAUUCCCAUCCAUAUCCAAGUCCCACCCUGAAAAUCAUAAAAUCAGAGUAGCUAAGGUUCCAUUCAACAGUGUUCAUGUAUCCAGGCAUGCACACAUGUUCAAGUGACUGUGGAAAUUAACGCAUAUUGAGAUUAAGUACUAUAAUGUGCUUCUAUGUUUAUCUAGUUAUGUCAAACACUACCAAAUCUGUUUUCAAGCAUCUCUUGUGUAGCACCUCAGAAGCACACAUGACCGGAUAAGAGGCCAAAAUUAAGAACUUAUUACUUACGGCAAUUCACUUACCAGUAGCUCCAGGCCAUGAUAUACUACUCCUCCUUGUUCAAGGAUAUUAAGAACCGCGCCUAUUGUGAACAAUACACUAGCAAUAAGAAACGGAAUCUGUACACUCUGUUGCAAGAUCUGGACGUGUCCAUCUGAUCUCUCAUAGAUUUGACACGAGUUGUGGAUUGAACCAAGCAACCAUAGAACAGGGCCAGCAAUAAGCAUAUUCAUCGCAUGUUUCUCAAGCUUAUAGAAGCCAUAUCCUCUCUCAGCCUGCAUUCAAUUGUGCACGAUAUAUCAAAAGUCACCACAAAUGAAUACAACUAUAUAAUCUUAUUAAUGCAGUUUGUGGUUAUCCCAUUAACAUCAAACUCUCAUCCUCUAGCUAGUUUAACCUACCAGAAGAUCGGACAUACAUUAUUGGUACUUGAUCCGAAACAAAGAUAACUGAUCGUUAAAAUUGAAAUCAUCAUUCAUAUGAAGUGCAAACAUUAAGAUAUGAUCUACAUUGAAGAAAACUAGCAAUGUAAUUUGUUAUGGUUACAAGGAUGAACAAAGAGGAUAUCGGAGGGGAUUUGAACUCUAUUUCGGUGCAGAGUAAUCACGGUUAGAAGCUUGAUGGAUCUCCCACUAAAACUUCUCUAUUUUUUAUUUGAACACAAUGAAGUACUCUAUCAAGUUUCUACUGCUAGCAUUAUCCCAUUGGAUCCAUAAACUAAGCUAAAACUAAUCCAUAUCGUGAUCGAUCAGUAAGCAAUAGAAAGUUACAUUGAAACUAGCUUAACUCACAGAGAACAUUACUACAUUAAUUAGAAGGAUUAGAUGUUCAUACCUGAAUGAAGAGGAAGAGAAUGCCCAAGAACCAAAGAAGCGAACCCAAAGCCUGCACCACCGGAACCGCAAACUCAACGAACGCAAGCUGCAAGUCCAGCUCCAUCAUUCUCAACCGGUAAUCGAACCCAGCCAGAUGGGCCAACAGAUCAUGCAGAUUCACUAACAAAACCAGCGCAAACCCUAUGAGCAAAAGAACUAGACCUGACGUUGGCUCCUUGGACAUCUCAGCCGCAAAACCGCCGAGCAGCACCGCCAUGGCGAAAACGUACAGCCCGGCGUUUAUGUACUCGGCGCGGUUCCGGCUCAACCGCGGCCCGUACAUUCGUGCCUCACGCGCCGAUGCGAGCUUCACCAUUUUAAGGUCUGCGUUUUCUCUGUACUGAUCGACUUGGGAUUUCAGUAAUUUGUACAGAAAUGUAAAGAAAGUUUGUACCAAAUUCUUCACCAUUUUAUUGUUUGUAUUUUGAGACUAGAAUCAGUCAAGAACUGAGUGCAAAUCUGAAAGCAGGUACGUGGCUUCGUGCAUGGAGGCCGUUUUGUAUAAGGUGGUUUAAUAAUAGACUGCUGGACGCGUGGCGGAUCGGAGCUCAGCUUCUGAGUUUUAAUGGUGGACCCCAUCACCCCGUCCGGCCCAUGCCACGUGGAACCGCCUAGACACAUCUUAUAUCCGCCCAUCCCGCAGGCCCAACCCACAUAAAAACCGCCUAGCCCAUCUCUUGUCUUCCUAGCCCACAGAAUUUGUUUUCAUUUACAAUUUUUUUCUUUUUUACCAAAGAAGAAAUUAAAAGAAAAAAAGAAGCUUGCUCCAUUCAAUCUAGCUCUCUGCUUCACGCCGUCACAGGUGCCCUAGCCUCUGUUCUGCAAAUAUAUAUGAACUUUGGAGCACCCUCAUUGUACUGUGAUUUAUGGAACUUUGGAGCAUCUGAUACAGCAAUUAUGAACUGUAUUGUUGAAUUUGGUUCUGAUUAUAUGCCAAAAGUAAACUUAAUAGUUCAGUAGUUCUAUCUAUGCAACGUAUAUUCAUUGACCACAUUCACAAAAGCUGUUUAUAUUCUGUCUGUUCCUUUGUGAUAUAUUGGUUUUUUUUUUUAUUAAGUUUCUUUACUGAUUGUUUAGUUUCUAGCUGAGCAUAGAAUUUGGUUUCUUGUUUAAAAUCCACAGUUUUGGUUACUUGGCUAGUUGUACCUGAAUAUAUAUGUAAAUGCUGAAUAGGUUCACAGGACAUAUUCAUUGAGAUGUCUUUAUGCACUGGAGAAGUGAUUUGAGGUAUUCUUCUUGACUUCCUCUUAACUCUUUAUGCUGAUGAUAGACUGCUCUUUCUUUUUUUUCUUUUUUCUUUUUUUUUAAUUUUAUGCUUUCUCUCUGCUAAGAAUGGUAAUUUUGAUUGUUUGGGGAAUAGACAAUAAAAGAAAGUUCUCUCACUAAAUUUUGAAGAUACUACACAAUUGAGACACUAUAAGAAAUUUAUAUCACAACAAAGACUUUAGUUACAUUUUAGCUGCAUUCACUGUUUCCUCUGGUAGUUAUUGAUACAAAUGAGGUGACAGACUAGUAUUCUAAGAUUUUAACCCUCCGCUAUUAUGUAGUUAAUGGUGGUUCAGAUACAGCUAUUAUUCUUAUAGAGACCUAAACUAUUGGACAAUACAAGCACAAAAAGGGAUGGAGGAUUAAUUUAUUUGAACCUUGGUACGCUUUCUUCAACUUUUUCCAUUUUCACUUUCACUAAUCACAAUCUGCUUCUGUUUAGACUUUUCAUCAUUCUCUUCAAGAUCCCAUUCGUUUGGUGUUCCCAUAGUUUUCAUUGCCCUUUUCCUGUACUUGCAGUAGAGCAGUAGUUGAAAUAUGCCUAAUGGGCUUCCAACCAGAUUAGGCGACUGCCAAGUAGAUAAAAUAUUGUGUUAGUUCCUUCAUGCCUCGAUUUGUUACUGUAAAAGAAAGCUGGGUUGGCUUAAUGUUUUACAAACCGCAAGAAAGAGAUCAUGUCCCAGUAGUCCGUAUGCCAUCCAAAGUGAACUAGAGAGGAAUGAGAAGAAAGACAAGUAGAAUGGCAUGAAUUCUACACUCUUUGUUGCAAUCACUUGCUUCUGCAGUUGUUAUUUAAAGUAACAAGAAUGAAGCAGGAUCAUAAUGAAUUUGAAAACAAGCAGAUUACUCAGAAUUUGUUAAAUUUAUCUGUGAUCGAGUGUUCAAACAUAGAUAACUUACCACAACUACCAGUGGAGAACCAUACAUGCUUACAGAGGCCACCAGCCCUAUACUUCCAACAAAUACCUUUCGAUGAUGGUGAUCAUGGAAAACAAAGGUUGAGAUGCUCACAGUAAUGAAGAACAUGACGAUAAGUGGUAUCAGAAUUGCAAUUACCUUCAUCUGCAAUUAAUGAAUAUAUGUUCUCAUCAUAUAACAUUACACAUGCAUACAUAUUUGAUUAGUGAUUUCAUACACCAUGAAAGUUUCACACUAAAAAUUAAACUUGCCUUUCUUGUACGUGAAGCAAACCAUAAGUAUAUGAGAAUGAAUGAGAACUCGAGAAGAAUUCCUAGACCAUUGAUGGUAACCACUGGAAAGUUUUCCCAGCCGCAGCUUACAACAGGCAAUCCAUACCAAGUAUAAAGGAGACAGUUGAGCAGUGCAGUGAUGUAAGGUACGCAUGAAAACUCUUCUGUACUUUUCUUCCUUAUGAUCCUUGACAUAGUCAAUCUGCAAAGCAUAUAAUAAUGUGGUCAAAACUAACUCUCUGGAUUGAAUCAAAUCAAAGUAUUCAGUUUAGGUAAGUUGCAGUUUGUAGACAAAAUUACAUGGGAGUUGAGUAAAGCAACAAAGAAGCAGCAUUUCCUGCAUGAAAGGAACAGCUUGCAAAUUAACACAGUAUAUUAAGAACCGGUAGCUUAUUUCUACAACUAGUCAUUUAGAACUCUAGUAAACAUAGUAAUGAAAUACCCAUCACUCCAGUUGCCAAUCGCAGCCUCUCUCCCAUAUUUUCUGUUCUGAGAAAUAGUUAAUAUUAACACAAAACUAGAUCGAAGACAAACAAUCAAGACUGCAAGAUAUGUAUAUAUAGACAGAUAAGAAGAGAAUAUAGAAAAUUGCAAGAAGUAGUACGUACUAGAAGUGCUGCAUCACCUGCAUGUGUCUUUUUAAACUUGUGGAUGAAAAAUAACUGGCACUAUCAAGUAUCAAGUCUAGAACUUUUUUCUUUUCUUUAAUUUAAUUAUUCAACGCAGACGUUGAUCCUUGUAGACUUCUGUUAGUUAAUUUUUUACACUGAGAUUGAUUGGCAUGAGCUACAUUGCUAGUUGUUUUGGUUUCUGUAAUGACUGGCGGAUCAUGUUAUCAGAUUUCAUCCACUUUUUAGGAGUAUUUGGUUAUAUAUGCAUAUGCAAUACUAAGUAAAAGCUAAAAUUAAGUGGCUUCUGCCUUUUUCAUUCUAAAAAUGCAUCUAAUUUGUCAAUAUAUGUUCUCGUAGUAGUAAUUAAGCAUAUCUACCUAGAAGUGCUGCUUAGUGUUUUCUUUGAUGGUGUGGCUUCCAUUAUUCAUAACCAGGGACGCAUGCGCAUGCCCGGAGCUUGUCAGCUGUGUUCUCUUAUGUUCAACAAAAAUAUUGCUUGCAAUUGACUUUCUUAAAAGGUAAUGACUAUUCAUUCAAGAAUUCAGAAAAUAACUAUUAACUUGUUGAAUUCCAAUGCAAGUGUUCAUGUAUAAUGGUUGAUAGUUUACCACAACUAAUUGCACCCAGAUAUAUAUCCUAAAAGAACAUUGGUGAGAAGCUAGACAUUACUUAUUCCAUACACAGAAUCAUACAUCACCAAUAGUUCUAACUAGAACAAGCAGGUGAAGAACAAUUUUUCUAAUGGAAUCCAAACAAUUCCAAGUAAACUGUUUGGAUUGGUUGCUUCCAUGAAAAGACUAUAAUCUUUAUUCCAACUCAAAUAUUUAGUGGGCAGUAGUGUUUCACUGUUUCUCAUGAUUCUGAAUUAAAUAGAGCUGAUGGGAGGGAAAAUUUACUUUCAGAGAAAUUAAUUCCUUCUUAGUCAAAUAUAUGGUCCUUCUUAGUCAAUUAUUCCUUAUUAAUUCCUUUUUCUGUCCAUUUAAAUUGUAUUUUCUUUUGUUCUUUUUGUUUGGGAUGAUGAAGGAAACCAUUUGCUAUGAUUAUUUUGGUGGAGCUGGAUUGAUUGGUUUAGAGGAUUAUGAGGUAAGCGAAGUCCCCCAUUCAUAUAUUUGUCUUUGCUCUAAUAGUAAUUAGAAUAUUUCCCUAAUAGCCAAAACUGGGUUCGGGCUUCAGUUGGGAUGUAUAAUAUGCAUGCACAGAUCUGAAUGAUAUAUAUGAGAUAACUGGAAACUGUUGGCAAAUGCAUGGUUUGCACACCCACUUUCUGAUUAAUACUGAUUGAUCGAGGAAGUGGGUUGUCGACACUCUGUUGCUGUGAUCUACCAAAUGCAAGUUCCAUGAUCUCUAACCAAAGUUGGAUUCUCAUGCUUGAUCGAUUGGUAGUUUUAGUUGUAAAAUUUGUGGUUUCCAGCAAAUGAUGAAUCUAUUAUCAGUUGAGAAUUCAGAAUAUAUUCUCCACUGAUACGAAAAAUAUGAUCAAAUUUAGUCUGUUGGUGAUAUCAAGCAUAUGUACUGAUAUAUCCUUUACAUUCAUGAUUUAUGUAGAUGUUCAAAAGCUGAUGAUCAACUUUGAUAAAACACACACUCUAGCUAGCAACAAUCUGAAUAGUCAAUUCAGAAACAUGAAAAUCUCAACCUCAACCCAGCAUUUAACAUGAACCGGGUGGUUUUUUUAGAAAGUAUAGGGUGCCUUUUUUUGUAUAUUAUGCCUUUUUAAUUAGCAUUUAGUAACUGCUUCCUACAUUCAUGCAUGUCCUAGUGAUUUAGAAAAUGAGAUACAUGAAGAUGCCUUCUUAAGAAGUAGAAUUUGGAAUUUUGGAUAAUAUCCUUUAUGUUAUGUCUCUGGUCUGCUUUUACGGGUGAAUAAAUGUUGGUGUCCAAGGCUAUGGGGGUGGUAUCAGAAUGGAAGAGAUAUAUGAAAGAUGCAAAGUGGCUUGCGUAUGCGAAGCAACAAUUUUAAUGCUAGCUAGCUGCUUAUGAUCAUCUUAUCAUAAACUUUCUGCUAAAAGCCUUACAAAUAUGUGGCUUCUGCUAUGCUUAAUGAAAAUUAAGCUCUAAAUAAAUCGGUUAGCACUAUCAGUGGAAAUGAGUGUGUCACUCUGAGUCCCCUCAAGCUUAUCCACAGAGAAGGAUCUAUGCAUCAGACCAACCAAAGAGUGUGAGCAAUCAAUCAAGUCGGCAUGAAAAGACAUAAUAAUAUUUCAAAAUAAUUGGAUCUAACUUGCAUUUCAUCUAAGGAAAAUAAUAUCAGAGAAAAUAUAAUAAGCUUGUUACACUUACUCAGCUGUUCCCUAGUUCUUAGUUUCUUACUGAGUAGACUGUAGAACAGUAUAGCUGAGAAGUCCGGCUGUGUAUAUAUAGGAACUUCUCAGCUACACCUGUAGAUUUGCAGUCAUCGAAAAUUCCUUUGUUAUAGAUCUGAAACAUCCCUCUGUCUUGUGCAACUCUAGAAAAUAACUGAAGAAUUCCAUACAAAGGAGGCUAAUUAUAAAAGCGAACAAUCAUCAUAUAUGUAUGCACCUUUUUACCAAAAUUUCAUUCCUUAGUUAUAACUGCUUGACAGAUAUGGAUCAGAAACCAAUGCCACCUUCAUGAUGGUGAUUUCAAGAUUUGGGUGAUAGUUCUGGUGGGUAUAUGUAUUCUUCGCUGGGGCUUCCCAACUUAACUAGGAAAACAAUAACCUCCAUUUCCACCUGCUUGAUGGCAUGAUGACCAAAGAAGACCGGUGUUCAAAUUUUUGGGUUUCCCAUAUAUGUGUGUAUGUGUCUACAUAUAUAUAUAUAAAUCAACAUAACAAAAACUGUCCAAACAGAACUGUUAGUGUAAAUCACGAUUACGGAAGCUCAAAUGAUAUUCAAAUUGGAUGAAACUUUGCAAGAAUGAUCUACACAGUGUGUUCUAGACAUUGUACGGUUGAGAUGUGGAAAUGCGACCUGAAAAUGAGCGAAAUAAGGAGGUCCACACUUUAAUUUCAAAACGGAACACCGCUUUGGAAAGGAACUGUGUGUGUGUGUAUAUAUAUAUAUAUAUAUAUAUANNNNNNNNNNNNNNNNNNNNNNNNNNNNNNNNNNNNNNNNNNNNNNNNNNNNNNNNNNNNNNNNNNNNNNNNNNNNNNNNNNNNNNNNNNNNNNNNNNNNNNNNNNNNNNNNNNNNNNNNNNNNNNNNNNNNNNNNNNNNNNNNNNNNNNNNNNNCAUAAGCUGGACCGUUCAAAAUAAUUAAAACUAAAUCAAACUUUUGAAAGUCUUAAUGAUCACCAAAUCAUAUGAAAUUUUGUGGAGGUGAUCUACUCAUAUAGACCUAAGAUAUGAACGGUGGAGAUGUAAAAAUUCAAUUGGGAAGUGGUGUAAUGCCCUAUCCCUAGAAAGUGGCCAAAAAUAGGGAUCCCUCAAUGGAAGGGGGCUGUAUAUAUAUAUAUAUCACUGCACUACAUAUUGUCUCUUGAAUUUUUGGUUUCAUAUAUCAAUGUUGAAUGUUCGCUGCUUAUGAUCAUCUAAAUCCUAAUUAUCUUCUACUUAAUUCGCCACUUAUUUCUAUGUUUUUGUAUUAGAACAGUGCUGUUAUCUCUUUUACAACCCUACCACGCAUUUGUUCAUGUUUUCUUGUUAUUCGACAGACCUUUUUUCUUCACUAUUAUCAUUGAUGAUAUCGAACAAGAAUCCAUCAUUAUUUUCCCAAAUGGCUGGAUAUGCAACAAGGCAUCUAGGUUCCCUGUCUCGUAGUAGUUCAUUAUUGCCUGAAAGAAAUUUAUACAUGGACAGUUUCAUAACAUUCAUUAUGUAUCGUCAUCUCUCCUUUCUACUCAUGACGUAGUUGAUUAGAAAAUGAAUAAUUCAUCAUGUUCAGUGUUUUAUUUUUCCCUGAAGGAGUUCAUCGAUAGCUUAUAAUGGCAGUUAAGUAUGAAAUACUAGUUUAUGUGUAACAGAAACAUAAUUAUAUUUUAUAUACCAUACUAUUUCGAUUAGAGUACCGUAUCAGUAGAUUAUAGGUUUGAUUUAUGUGUAAUAGACACAUGAUUAUAUACCAUGGUGAAUAAAGAAGAACUACUUUGCUCUGAACUUAAAGGGUUGUCUUUUGAAAAACGCAUGCUUACCUUCUAUAAUGGCACUCAUGGCAGAAGCCAGUUGAUUUAGUAAACUGUAAAAGAACAUAAAGUACUGUUCCUUGCUCAUACUGCAUGUAUAUGCUGACAAAGAAUAAGGGGUAGAUUAUCCUUUUGGUAUAUAUAAAGCUGCAGGAAGUUUGUAGUUUUGCUUUUCUUUUUUUUCUUUUUUUUUUUCUGUUUAUAUAUGUUUAUUUGUUGCCAUAGUCCAUCUGUUCUUUGUUUCUUGCUUCCUCUGAUACCUGUGUUUUCAACUACAAGUCUACAAAGACGAGCAGUCAACAAACACACAAACAGUCAGCAUUUUCUAGUUUGUUGGCAUGGGCAGUGUUUGUAGUCUAAUACUGUUUACAAACUUUUUGGUUGUAGCAUCUGCUUCAAGAAUUAUGCCCUUUUAUAAAUUUAUCUGGAUUCAGCUCUAGCACACCUAUAUUUAUAAUAUUGUAUAUCUAUCAUAUCUCUUAUCACCUCCAGUCCUCCCCAAGCUGUCCUAACCUAACUUCUACUGUAUAUUUCUGGUUUAUCAUAUUCCUUUUAUCUUUCUUUCUCUAUACCAAGGUUGAUGCAAACAAUGGACAAAUGUCGUCGUAAACGACCCAAAAUCACUACUUCCGAUCAGUCUGAAGGUUGGUAGUAGUUUCUUCAUUUCCAUAUAUAUAAAUAUAUAUAUAUAUAUAUAUUAGAUUUCUGCACUCAAUUCUUUAGUUCCACUGGAUUAUGGAAACUUAAAUUCUUACUUCCUAGCUUGCUUGGCAUGCAGAGGUUGUCAGCAAUGAAUGGGAAUUCAUUCAUAUGAGUGAGCAAGAAGAAGAUCUCAUCUACAGAAUGUAUAGACUCGUAGGAGAAAGGUAAACCUCUAAAGCUAGCAAGUUGCUGUAGUUAGUUUCGAUAUCUUAUUAGCACUAAGAGGCCACUGUUUUAGAGCUUAAACAUCUAGCAAUAUUGUAAACAUUGAUGGAGGAAGAGAUCACUAGUAAUCAAUUCAAUGUUUACUCAUAUGUAUUAUUUCAGCUAUAGCUAGCCAUAGUUUUAAUCCUGUAUUUUUCGGCCACUUUGUUAGUUCAUGAGUCUCUUUCCCAUUCUGCCUAAACUUGUAAAGUUUGUCUUUGAAAUUACGUGCAUCUAACUUUUAAAUGCCAUGAAACUAUCUCCUGCACGAGAGAACAACGCUGCCAGCACAAAGAAAUUUUGGCUUUCUCACUCCAGUACAAUACACGAAGCUUCUUGCUAGAUUGCAGACCAAGCAUAACCACAUAUUGAACCACACAUCUGACAUCUCUCUUAACAUUAUUCACAUGGGAUCAUAUUGUUUGAUAGCACUUAGGCUUGCUCACUCUUGUUUGAUGCAUCUAUCAACUUCAAUCAAGCAAUAGCAUUUCUCUUGAGCUUUCGUUUUCUUGGUUUCAGGUGGGACUUAAUAGCUGGUCGGAUUCCGGGUCGAACAGCAGUAGAAUUGGAGAGGUUUUGGAUAAUGAGACAUUCUGACAUGUUUGCUGAGAAACGAAACAGGUAUAACAAAGAAAACUCAAAAACUGUUCUGCAUUGAACUUUCAAUGGAUUUGGAUAGUCGACUUCUCUUCCCAUGGUUCUGUGGCUUCUGAUUUUGUGCAGUGAUUGAUGUAUUUCUCACUGCAGUUCUUAGCAACUGUCUUGCAAAAACUUGUAAAUUAAAUGGCAAAGGUAAUGUUCAUGAAUCAUGAUCAUGAUGGUGUACCAAGCCUAAACUCGCAACUGUCAUAGGUCUCAUACUUUUCAGUGUACUGAAUGCAUUCUCUACUAGUGUGGAAUAUUGAAGGUCCUAGGGGGGGGUGAAUAGGCCCUGACAACUUUUUGCUCUAUCCCGCGCACAAGGAUAGCAAAGAUUGUGCUAUCCUGUUUGCUGUGAGACUAAGUUGUGUAAAUAAAAAGGCGAGUACUGAAAGUAAAAGAUAUAACACCAGUACGUUUUUUAUACGCAGAAACCCUGCAACCAGGGAGAAAAACUGUGUGUCUCUAACUCUUGAGAGACAAACUAUUCCACUAUUGUAAAGACAUUUCUUACAAGACUCACAACUCAGAGGAUGGCACAACACCUAGCCAUCCUGCCUAGUCUAACUACUAGCACACAACUGAACUUGCUCUCUUGUCACUCAAGUGUUUUACACAUAGCUCGAAUCUAAGCUUCUAUGCAGAAUUCAACUAACACCUUUAGCUAACUCUCAAAGACAGCUUACAACUUGCUUCACACGAACUUAACUAACUCCUUAGCUAAUUCUUUAUGAAGACUUCUCCAGGUUGCAUCAUCUAGACAACUCUCAAGGUAUGCAUGAACAAUGAACAAUGAAAUGGGUUUUGAAAAUGUUUUGAUGCUCAACUCUAAGAUUUANNNNNNNNNNNNNNNNNNNNNNNNNNNNNNNNNNNNNNNNNNNNNNNNNNNNNNNNNNNNNNNNNNNNNNNNNNNNNNNNNNNNNNNNNNNNNNNNNNNNNNNNNNNNNNNNNNNNNNNNNNNNNNNNNNNNNNNNNNNNNNNNNNNNNNNNNNNNNNNNNNNNNNNNNNNNNNNNNNNNNNNNNNNNNNNNNNNNNNNNNNNNNNNNNNNNNNNNNNNNNNNNNNNNNNNNNNNNNNNNNNNNNNNNNNNNNNNNNNNNNNNNNNNNNNNNNNNNNNNNNNNNNNNNNNNNNNNNNNNNNNNNNNNNNNNNNNNNNNNNNNNNNNNNNNNNNNNNNNNNNNNNNNNNNNNNNNNNNNNNNNNNNNNNNNNNNNNNNNNNNNNNNNNNNNNNNNNNNNNNNNNNNNNNNNNNNNNNNNNNNNNNNNNNNNNNNNNNNNNNNNNNNNNNNNNNNNNNNNNNNNNNNNNNNNNNNNNNNNNNNNNNNNNNNNNNNNNNNNNNNNNNCACCCUAGACUAACUUGGAGCUCAAGUACGAAUAGACUAAUGUUUUGCUAAAAGGUAUUUGAAUUUCAAACACUUAAAAGCUGAAGCAAACACAUUUGAAUAUGCACAUGGUCAGACCCAGUAGAUAGAACAGAUACAGCAGGGGUAUCCGUUUAAUCGGGAUGGCAAGCACGGCUGCCAUCCUUAGUGAAUGAAUGUGAUGCACAUGCAUGAACUACCUGAUGCACAUGAGAUCUGUCAGGUUCUUCGUUCUUCACUUGAGUAGUCCUUGCUACCAAGCUACAACAUGUAGCAUGUAUCCUUGUGUUUUGAUCAUAAAGGGAUAGCCAACAAUUCUUGUACCAACAAAUAUAGUUGUAUAGAUGGACCAUAAGUAUUACAUUUCAUGUAUUAUAUACAUGGGUAUACGUAAGAAUUUGAGAGUGUGAGAUUUCUAUGUUGACUGUGUCGAUCACUUUAGACUAUGGUACAAACGACUAGUAUACAGCAGGAUGAUUGAGAUGGCCAUUAGAGAUAAAACCAAAGUUGGAAAACUGUAAAGGAGAACUGAGAGUGAGCGUAUUGUACAGUGCCGAUUACUUCAGACUAUGUAUCUGCGAAGAUAGUCUACUCGGGCUGGAUGCUUGAGCUUCAUGAGGGCCUUAACUUCAUGCUUCCGAACCAUCUCUCUUGAAAUAUUUAAGUUUCCGGCUAUCUCCCCUAAUGUUCUGUCGCCCUUGCCAUCGAGGCCAUAUCUCUGUCUGAUCACCAAGCUUUCCUUUGGCUUCAGGGAAUCAAGCUGGUAGACAAUUUCCAGUGGAAGUAUUAGUUACCACUUACGACAUGAAUGGGGUUGUAUCAACUUUUGAAUACAAUGCAGUAAAGUCUAACAUGGCAAAUGGAGAAGGAAAAUUGAAAGUUUCAAACGACAUUAAGCCUCUCCUACCCUACAAUGGAACUAGGCCUCCUUAAAAAAUAUACACUAGAGUUGACAAUCAGUACUAUUAGACUUAUCGAGUACCUUUGAGCUUUGAGAAUUCUAUAAGUGUAUAUAAUUGAGGACAAUGAUCAAAGAGGAAAAAGAAAUUACCACAUCAUCAAUAGCAAGCCUGAGAAGAGCAGGUUUCCGCCGGUUAUCACCAUCAACGCCGUCAACAUCAGUAAUCCCGUUUAUAAAUUCUUCUUGUGUGACUGAAUGCCUUGAAUUAAGAGAGAAGACAGGCUUUGAGGCCCUCAUUACUUCAUGAUACCUCUCAGGGGAAAUUCCAACCUUUUCAAUUAUCUCAUCUUCUGUUGGCAUUCUUUUGAGCUGAACCAACAUUUCAAGCUUAGCUUUCUGGAUUUCUGCCCUGACCUGCAUUGGAAACCAGGAACAUGUCACUAUAUAUUUCUCAUUACAAUUACUUUCAAGGAGCUCAGUAACUUAUCUUAGGGACUUGGGUAGCAAGAACGCUUACCGACUCAAGGCCAAAGGAGACACGAGUAAAGCUUGAUAGUGUCAUGGAGCGUAUGAUGGCAUGCCUGAUCCAGAAAAGACCAUAUGUGGAAAGCCGGAAUCUUCUUUGUGGUUCAAAGCGAUCAAUUGCCGUGAUAAGUCCCUUCACUCCUGCCUGGCAAAGGUCUUGAAAUUUUGGACCAUUUGCAAAGUCUUGAAAGUAUUUGUUAAUGACAAAUAACACAAGUCGGAGAUUGUGCUGCAAUAGAUUAGAAACAAUCACCAGUUAAUUUCUGUGCACUCACAUAUGAAGCCAUACAUUCUGAUUUAGUAAAACCGCUACUUAAGCAAACUAGGCAUUACAUACCUUGAUGAGUUUGUUUCUUGCAGCUCGACCAACCUCCAAGUGCCUUUUCACUUGAACCACAGUCAUAUUUGUCGCCUCAGCUAGUUCACCCUUAUUUGGUUCUCUCCCCAAAUCUUUUUGCAAAAUCUCUUUCACUUCAAGAAGACCCUGAAUCAAGACAACAUAACAUAAUUCAGCAGCAAAAUACCACACACACAAACACCUUGACUAGCCAAUUUUCAAAAUCAAAGCUGCCACAAAUUAGAAAAUUGAGAAGCCUCACCUUCAUAGGUUGCAUUAGCUUGAACAACCAAGUAUGCUCAGAGGAACUAAGAACAGGAGGAAUCCUCAUCUUUUUCCAAUCUAAACUGACAAGAUCAGUUGAAGCCGAAUACUCCCUUACAAGCUCCUCCAUCAUCUCAUUCUCACUCCUUUUAUCUUUUCUCUUUCGAACUACUGAAGCAGCCACUUUCUCAUCCUUAUUCCAUUUCAAUGCAACCCUUUUAUCAAGACUCAAUCUUUUAGCCUUCUUUGUCACGCUCCUAACCACAAUGUCAUCGCUUGUUCUCUUCUCUACUUUGUCAUCAACUUCACUGAUCUUCUUCCUCCUUUUGCGACCUCUCUUGAUCAUCAAGCCAUCUACAUUUUCCACAUCCGAAGCUUCAGUCUCGGGGCUGCGCUUGUACAGGUUUUCCAGCUUGGCAGCAGCUUCAUUGUAAUCCAAUUCCAAAUCACAAGUAGGAGCCUCCUCUAUCAAUGCAGCUUUUACACUCUUGGGGAGCUUUCUAGCCUUCCCUAGUCUCUUUUGUACCUUCUUUCCUGUUUCUAUUGGCAAAGGUACUUUCUCCUGAGGCGCAACCAAUGCUUUCUUAUCGGAUUUAUCUGUUCUAAAGGCAACAAUCAACGGCUUUCUCAAUGUGGAUCUCUGACUCGACACCAAGUUUGUGCUCAAUCCUAAUGGAGUCCUAGAAACUGAACUAGAAACUGUCACAACUCCCAUGCCAAUUCCCACAAGUUCUAAUUCCUAUACAAGAGCUUUAUUUAUACACAAAACCUGCAACAAAACAUAAACAAAUGAAACCAUUUAAGCUCAUUCCAUGUCUAACAACACUAUUGCUACUUCACCAAGCACAACUUAGAAAUUAAAACAUCACUUUUAAUUAUCUGAUCACCAAAAGACAAUUUCCAUUUCUGAUCACUCUAAAUCACAAAUUCACAACUCAUAUAAGUUCAGAUCAAUCCAAACCUCACAGUUUACUAAACUCUCUCAUUCUCUUCACCACCACAAACCCUCAAAACCCAUUAGCAUAUAAGAUUUCAGACCCUUACAUCAAUCUUACAUGCAGGAACACAACUCAAAACAUUCAGAACACUACUGAUGAGUGAUCGGCAACAAGUUCAACAACUUAAGAAGCAACUUUCAUGUGAAACAAGAGCUUCAGUUGCAGAGAAUCAUACCUCAGCCAAUGUCCAACUGCUCGAUCAGAAGCCAAGAAAAUCUCGAAGAAUCUGGGAACCAAGAAAAAGAAAGUUCGAUUCUUUUUGUUUGUUUUGGUACACAAAAAGUUUGAGACUUUAAAACAAGGCACGUAAAUAUGGGAAUUACGGUGACCACAAUAAACUCCGGAAUACGGACGGUCCGUGCUGUUAGUAUGCCAAUCCGACGGUAGAGGAGUUUCCCACGUAGGCCGUAAAAGACUGGUUUUGGAGUAGAAGAGGGUGACGUGGGUGGUGCUGGAACAGAGAAGGGUGUGUGUGGAGGUUCGGCGUGGAGGCUUCUUAGUGGAGGAGGCGAUAUUUGGUAAACGAGUGGACUAUUGUCGUGACACAUGGGAUUGAUAUUGUUGGACGUGGCGUUUUGCCUCUACUUUGUGGGACAUGGCUGAGUGUGGUGUUUACGUUGCUCAAUAAGAGCCAUUAAUUGAAAAGAACAAAUACAAUUUUACAUUUGCUUCUUCUUCUUAUUUUACAUUUCCACAUUGUUUUUAUUUUAUUUUAAGUAAUUAAAUCUUUAGUUUUUUUAAACCAAAUCAAUAGAGACGUUUGAAGCAUGUUGAUCAUGAAGCAAACUUUGUUGCUGAUACGAUUACGAAUUCAAAACACAAUAUUAUCUUUAUUUACGCUCCUUGCGUUUAAUUUUAAUCAUCUUAGUGUUAGUUGUUGAUAAUCAGAAACCUCUACAAAGGCUUCCGGCUAUUAUUUUCUUUACAUUUAUGAAAUAAAGUACCGGGGUUUAAUUAAAGGGGGUGCUACUAAUAUUUUUGUUUGGAAAAAAAAGAAAAGAAGGGUUUUUGUAUAGUCAGAAGGCCCAAUUGGCUGGGUAUAGGCCCGAGUGUAUAAAUUGGGCUCUCUCUAGUGACACAAUAGCCUGUUGCGAGUCCAAUUGUAUUUUUAUGUGCCAUUUCCUCUAUUUUUUUUGGAAAUAAAAAAUAAUAAUUGAAAGAACAAAUAUUUCCUAGUUAAACAUGAUGUUGAAUUUUGUCUCAUAAAAAUACUUUCCUACUCACAUUCUUAAGUUUGGACACAUAACUAGGUAGGUAUUUGUAUGAAAACAAGCUUCAACAUAUCAUGCUACUUCUCAAAUUAAUCCCUCAAAAUCAACAAUAUUGUUCUUCUUUGAUUUGGUCGGAGAAAAGGAGAAUGAUCAAGGUUGUGACCAGUGGUGCUUUUGUUUCCAAUAUAUUCCACGCGUCUGGUCAUCCACUAGGACUAUGUAUAAUGGAACCAAGAACAUAUCAAUUUCAUCUAGAAGGUUACAUAUAUAUAAUAGCAAUGUUGCGGCUGAAAAUUCUUUCUAUUUUCUGGGCAUCCCAGAUUGCUAAUUCUUCUACCCCAAUAAUUGGUUUAUUUUGAACUGGUCCAAAUUUCUCCUCGUAUAACAACCAAAUUUAUUAAGACCGAGUUUUGUGUUCAUAGUUAAGUAUGGUCAAUCACUAACAUAUAUAACAAAGUUUAUUAAGACCGAUCAGUAUGCUGGGAGUAUACCAGGUCGUGUAUUGUACGUGAUCUUUGUCCUAUCAGCAGAGGAAAAAUCUAGACCCUAAUUAAGGUGGAUUAUAUACCCAGAUAAGCAAUAUGUCUCGUACAUAUGUUUUUAGCUUAUUUAACUUGCUGGAUUGUCACCCAUCAAAUUACAUCAUCAUGUCAAACUAAUACUCAAAAAAUUAGAUCAUGUAUAUGAUGAGCCAGACUAAUUAAGAUUGGAGUUAAUGAUAUAAUUAUACAAUGAAAGCGAAUUUAGUGAUAUCCACGUACGUCCAUAUACUCAGCAAAGAUUUUGUAUUCAACUUGUAUACAUCCUUCUUUACAGAGUUAUUUAGGAAAAUGCUCAUUUACACAAAAAUAAAUCGAGAAUCACGAUAAUAAUUAUUACAUACAGUAGAUAGGAUAUGUACACUUAUAUAGAGGUAUAUAUGUACGUAGAAGAAGACGUAGUUGUUGCCAUAUAUAGCCUUUUAUUUUAGGGUUUUAGCGAUAGGAGGAAAUAGUUAAUUCAUUUCGGAGGACGUAGACUGGGAGCUGAAGGUUCCAAAACCCUAAAAUAAUGUCGUCGAUCGGGGGAAAGCUUAUGCAUGUAUCAGACCAAACCUUGAUAAGAUCCCACAAUGAAAACGUACAUAUAAAAUUUGAUAGAAUAUACUCGGUCUUUGUUAUUUCAACUCGAUCGACUAUAAAUCAUUAUAUGAUCUAUAUCCCAUGAAUCUAGAGCUGCCCUAGUUAGUUCCAAAAUAUGCUUUCACUUUGAGAAACUAAGUGGGAUUGUUUGUUGUGGAAUCUUAACAUACAUGUUCAUACCCAAAAUGGAGAACCAUGCCUGCAUACUCUCGGUCAUGUAUGUUUCCACUUUCAAGUUUCAACACGCCCUUUAGCCAAGCUCGAGUCUCUACGCGUUGCAACAUGCAAUACUACUAUUUUCUGCUUUUGAACUUCAAACAUACCUAUAGUUAUACACAAAGAGAGUUACAUACUCUCAAAAAAAAACUUUUUCCGGAAUGAAUGGGUGCACACAAACAUAAACCAUCAUAUAUACUCAUAAUAUCAACACAUUUUGAAGACGAAAUAUCAACAUAUUUCUAUUUUUUUUAAAUUUAUACAUAUGAAAAUGUUCAACUCAACGAUUAAACUUAUCAACCAUACGUGGUAGUCAUGUUUUUCUUUUUUUCUAAUCACAGUUAACUUGUUAUUACCAAUCGUCAUGUUUUCCCGUAUUGGGUUUUGGGCAAGAGCUAGAUUCUGUCUCCUCCUCCUCAAUACAUAGGAGAUCCAAGCCAAGUUCCUGCCGUGAACGUAAGCAAAGGUUUUGGGGUGACGCCAUCACUUUCACCCUGUAAAAUUUGGAAGGAGAUACUACUUGGUAGUAACAUACUAACAACGCGGAACUGAGUUUGAAGAUUCUUGGUCUCCUUCUCCUCCUAAGCUAUCUUCCUAAUAAUAAUAUAUCGCUGACUUUCUUCUUUUGCUUUGCUUCAAUUCAAAAAGCGAGAGACAUGGCAAUAUCGGGUGUUGUUGAUCUUGGCAUAUGUGUAGCGUGUACGUAGCUUUGAUUGGAAGAAGCUCUCUCUAGCUUUAUAUGGCUGAAUUGGUCAGCAAUUGGACCUCUUACUCCUCUUUGAAAUCUCACAAUCCCUUCCACAGUUCCACUUCCUAUGACCAAAGACUGGUCUUCAUGAGGAAAAUCAACUCCACUAGGAUUUUGAUUUGAUUUUCUCUCAGUCAAACUUCAUCUACCUCUCAAUUUCAUUCCCUCACUUUCUAAAACAUUCAAAUACAAGUUUAAGCCUUUCCUUAAAUCCUCAUAACCACCUCUCCUCCUUCCUCAGGUCUUAUUAGCCUUUACCAAUCCAAAAGCUUCAAAAACAUCCCAAAACAGAAAACACCAUGCAUUCUCAGUAAUCUGUCCUGUUUUGCUUCUUUAGUGGGUUACUGGAUCAGUUUUUUGGGCACUCUUGAAAACUUGAGAUUUGCCAACUUAGAGUCAAUUACAUUGCUUCCAAGUUCUUAAAGGUAGAAACUUUUGGAAACCCAGUUCCAGUUUUGGCUAAAUUCCCAUUCUUUCAAGUCUUUUUCCUUAGUUUGCUACUUGUUUAAGUUAGGUGAGGUUAGAGUUGCACAAUCCAUGCUCUAGCUUGCUAGUUAUUAACAUAGAAAUGGACAAGUACCAUAACAUGGGAGUGAACUGGGAGCAAAAGACUAGUCUUGUAAAUGAGCUAACACAAGGCAGGGAGCUAGCUAGGCAACUGCAGAUCCAUCUCAAUGCUACGCCAACUUUGAAUCCUUCUGCGAGCUCUCAAACAGCGUUGGCUCGCGAGGUUCUGAUCCAAAAGAUCAUAUCUUCCUUAGAGAAGGCGCUUUCGAUGCUCAGUUCUAGCAGCUCCUCACCCCAAAUUGCAGUAGCAGUAGAGGAACUACACCAGCAACAACCUACAUUUACAGUAGCUGCUGCCACAGGUGUUGUUACAAUCCGAAUGGCUAACUCCCCACCUUCGCUAAAUGGGAGUCCUCGGAGUGAGGACUCUGAUGACCACAAAGAUCCCUCUAAGAAAAGGUUAGUGAUUUAGUUCCCUAAUUUCAUUUUAUUUGAUCACAGGACAAAAAUGUGCUUCUUAUAGUCCUAGUACGUCAAGACAUAUUAUAGCUACAGAAGUAAAUCUGAUCAAUGUUGAAUUUGCUAAAAUGAAUGCAGGAAAGUUCCAGCACGGUGGACCAAACAAGUAAGAGUAACAUCAGGUAUGGGGCUUGAAGGGCCUCUUGAUGAUGGCUUUAGCUGGAGGAAGUAUGGCCAGAAGGACAUUCUUGGAGCCAAAUAUCCGAGGUACCUAUAUUUAGGACAUGUUCUUCAUAUGAAACCAAUCUAUGUUUCUUGCCUUUAACAUUAGAUUGUGUUUCUGUUGGAUUGCAGAGGGUAUUAUAGAUGCACUCAUCGAAAUGUUCAAGGUUGCUUGGCCACAAAACAAGUGCAACGCUCCGAUGAGGACCCAAUGAUCCUCGAAAUUACUUACCGAGGAAGGCACACUUGUACUCAAGCAGCCUCCACCACCGUAACUAGUCCUCCUCCAAAACCAAUGUCACCAUUGCCUGAGCAAAAACCAGAACCACCAAAGAUCAAUCACCAGCCUCAACAUAAUAUGCUCUUAAGCCACCCCGAAGGCCUCAGGGUCAUAACCGAAGGCCUAGACACUAGUCAUGAUCGUCGUGACGAAUUAGUAUUCUCCUCGUUUAACAACAAUUAUGUGGGGAAUUUUUCUCCUCCAUUAACUAUGCCUACAGCUUCAACUUCUGGGACAAACUAUUUCUCUGUACUGUCUCAGCAAGACUUUGGUGGCAGCCAAAAUAUGCAGAUCAGCGCUGCGGCCGAGCCUCAUGAUAUAAUCUCAGCUGCUACUUCAGCUACCAACUCUCCAACAGUUGGUAUAGAUUUUCCAUUUGCUCAAGCUGAUCAUCAGAUAUUAUACCCCAACUUCACUUUUGAUGAUCCUGGAUUUUUUCCCUAAUCUCCUACACAUAGCUUCCCAAAGUAACAUAGAAACUGAAGCACAUUAGCUUGUACAAGCAUUUGAGGUAGUUAAGGUCGCAUUUUGGAAGUACUAUAUGUUUUGCUGUUAAAUGCAGAAACUUAAAGAAGCAGCAAAUUUAGGACUUCCAAAUGUGCUUAAUUAAGGUAAAACACUUUCUAAUUCCCCUGUCUUAGGCUUUAGCUUGUAGUUGCGGAUAUGUUGUGCCAAAGAGUACUACAAUGUUGUGUAAUUUUUUCCAAUUGAAUAGCAUUUAUCUUAAGAGAAAUUUUAAAUACACACCCCUAAUAUCUUAAUACACACCUCUUACUUAAUACACCACUUAUCAAGUUUUUCAUUUCAGUAUUAUACUUAAUACACAUCCCAAACUGUCUAAAAUGCCCUUAAGAAAUAUUCUAUUAUUUAAUAUAAUUAAUAUAUAUUUACUAUUUGGUACUUCCUUUUACAUAUUAUUUCGUCUAAUUUUUGCUAGAAAUUUUUGGUUAUCCUCGUUUAAUUUAUAAUCAAAUGAUUAUUGUUAUAUCCCAACUCUAAAUCACCAAUACAAGUUUUCAAAAUUCAUAAGCUAGUAGAAUAGAUAGCUAGUUAUUCGAUAAAACAUGUCAUGAUAAAGAUGCAAUACUUGACANNNNNNNNNNNNNNNNNNNNUUUUUUUUUAAUAAUAAAUGUUUAUUUUGGUCAUUUAGCUUACCUAUAAAAUCUCAAUAGAAACAUAAAAUAAUAAAGAUGUGUAUUAAGAAAUUAAGGGUGUGUAUUUAAAAUUUCUCUUAUCUUAAUUCAAGAAAGAAAUGCCAUUUUAUUACAACAAUUGAAUUGUGAGCACACCUCAAGAAAGGAUGGCCCUUUUAUUACACCUUAAAUUGUUCUACACACCAUUUAAACAAGGCCCAGUUGGCCCAAUUAAAGGUAGCAGCUAAAACCUAAAACCCAAGAAAGCUGUUCAUCAGUGUUCACUAGUAAUUUCAUUGAACCCUUCGCCGCUUGGCAAUCGGGAUUUGGUGGUCAAAACCAGAACUUGAAGCCACCAUCGAGUUGUCGAAGCAUGAAACAGCAGCAGGAGGAAAACCAGUGUCGAAACCCAUCAUGGCAUUGGCAGCUGAGGAUGUCUGAGCCACAUUGUAAUUGCUAGUGGUGGGAUUUGAAUUUGCAAAUGGUUUCUGAUUAAAGCUUCUAGUAUAACCAUUGAUCAUGGAAACAGGUGGGAUUUUAAAAGGUUGCUGCAAUGGAGGAGGGGGGUUUCGCCACCGGGGCAAUGGAGGACCGGCAAUAAGAAGCGUCUGAAGCAAUGGACCAGCUUCCUUCACAGCUUGCAUGAGUUUCCCUAUUUGAGGUAAAGUCUUUCCUUUAGCAAAAUCGUCAACUAUUUGAGAAGCUAGAUCAUCAGUUUGGGCAGACAUGGUAACAUUACUAGUGUUCGGAUGAAAUUGUUGAACCAUAGUAGGCUGCUUCAUCACAUUAACAAAACCCAUGGUGCUUGAAUUAGGCAUGUUGAUGUUUGCGAACUCUGGUGAAGAAACUGCAUGAUCAAAUAAGGAAUCAACAGAAGAGGGACUGUUGGAUUCAGUUAAGCUCAAGUUUGCUUUUGUGGUCGAUUGCAUCAAAAUUUGGGGGUUGACAGACUGGCCUAGAUGAUUUGCCUGCAAUUGACCAACUGGAGUAGAACUGGGGUUUAUCUUCUCAAAGAUAUUCUUCAGCUGGUUUCUAGCUUCGUCUCUUUCUUGGUAUGCAACCUCUAACAGAUUGAGUAGGUUUGACACAUUUUCUUGACUCUCCGUAACUUUGCACUUUACUGAUUCUAGUUCAAGACUGGAGUACAUGAGCUCCUUCUUCAACUCGUCAGUGCUCUGCAUGCCAAUUCAAAUCAGAUAAAUAGAACAAACGAUUCUCAAAAAUCUUAAGACCUAGCACACUAAUGAAUUGUAAUCAAUAAAACAAGAAUUAAUACAAGUUAUUUGCCCUCUUUCUGUUAAAUUAAAGAUUCAAUUGUAAAGAUUAUUCACCAUUAAUGGUCAAAACAAGAAUAUCAAUAAAAUCUACCUACAUAGCACAAAUCAGCAAUAGGUCAUACAAACUAAAUGGCCUAUAUAUGUAUGUAUAUGUAUGUGUACCAAUAUGUACCAAUUGUACCAACUCAUCAAUAUGUACCAAUUCAUAUAUAUGUAUGUGUUACUCAAAGAUUCAAUUAAAUGAUAAUAGUUAAGAUAUAUUAGCCAAAGAUACUUCUUCAAAACAUUUUAUUUUGGUUAGAAAUUGAAAACAAUAUGUACAUUCAAAAAAACCCUACCUCUCAAUGAGAUGAAGGCCAGGACAUGCAUGCUUACAAAACUAUAGAAGCACCAGAGAAAACC